rfam:Sclerotinia sclerotiorum 1980 scaffold_2 genomic scaffold, whole genome shotgun sequence.
GCCUUCGUGGCACAAUGGUUAGCGCGUGGGCCUUUUAUAUACAGAUACAAGUUCUUCCUUGCUCUGUGAAUGUGAAAGCCCAAGGUUGUGGGUUCGAGACCCACCGAGGGCG